GACGUGAAGGUUUGUAAAUGAUGUUGUACAUCAUGCAGAUAGCUCAGAAGAAGAAGCAGGAAUGUUUGACUGGAAAUAUAAACGAUGUUGUACUUAAUGCAGAUAGCUUAGGCGAAAAAGAGAUUGGUGAAAUGGAGAAUGAGACUAACUAUGGUGAAAAAAUAAUGAAUAUCAAAAUGUGAAUGGUACUUUGUUUGACAUCUAUCUGUUUCUACAGACACAAUGCAGUCGCACUUAAA